UACGUAGGGGGCUAGCGUUAUCCGGAAUUACUGGGCGUAAAGGGUGCGUAGGUGGUUUUUUAAGUCAGAAGUGAAAGGCUACGGCUCAACCGUAGUAAGCUUUGAAACUGAAGAACUUGAGUGCAGGAGAGGAGAGUAGAAUUCCUAGUGUAGCGGUGAAAUGCGUAGAUAUUAGGAGGAAUACCAGUAGCGAAGGCGGCUCUCUGGACUGUAACUGACACUGAGGCACGAAGGCCAGGGGAGCAAACGGG
rnacentral:rRNA from 1 species